GGUUAAGCGAAUAAGCGUACACGGUGGAUGCCUAGGCAAUCAGAGGCGAUGAAGGACGUGCUAAUCUGCGAAAAGCGUCGGUAAGGUGAUAUGAACCGUUAUACCCGACGAUAUCCGAAUGGGGAAACCCAGUAUCCAAUGGAUACUAUCAUUAACUGAAUCCAUAGGUUAAUGAGGCGAACCGGGAGAACUGAAACAUCUCAGUACCCCGAGGAAAAGAAAUCAACCGAGAUUCCCCUAGUAGCGGCGAGCGAACGGGGAGCAGCCCAGAGUCUUAAUCAAUAGCAGUGUCAGGAGAACGGUCUGGAAAGUCCGGCAGUAAAGGGUGAUAGCCCCGUAUCUGAAGAUGCUGUUAUUGUGAACUCGACGAGUAGGGCGGGACACGUGUUAUCCUGUCUGAAUAUGGGGGGACCAUCCUCCAAGGCUAAAUACUCCUGAUUGACCGAUAGUGAACCAGUACCGUGAGGGAAAGGCGAAAAGAACCCCGGCGAGGGGAGUGAAAAAGAACCUGAAACCGUGUACGUACAAGCAGUAGGAGCCUCUUUAUGGGGUGACUGCGUACCUUUUGUAUAAUGGGUCAGCGACUUAUAUUCUGUAGCAAGGUUAACCGUAUAGGGGAGCCGUAGGGAAACCGAGUCUUAACUGGGCGAAUGAGUUGCAGGGUAUAGACCCGAAACCCGGUGAUCUAUCCAUGGGCAGGUUGAAGGUUGGGUAACACUAACUGGAGGACCGAACCGACUAAUGUUGAAAAAUUAGCGGAUGACUUGUGGAUGGGGGUGAAAGGCCAAUCAAACCGGGAGAUAGCUGGUUCUCCCCGAAAGCUAUUUAGGUAGCGCCUCGUGAACUCAUCUUCGGGGGUAGAGCACUGUUUCGACUAGGGGGUCAUCCCGACUUACCAACUCGAUGCAAACUGCGAAUACCGAAGAAUGUUAUCACGGGAGACACACGGCGGGUGCUAACGUCCGUCGUGAAGAGGGAAACAACCCAGACCGCCAGCUAAGGUCCCAAAGUCAUGGUUAAGUGGGAAACGAAGUGGGAAGGCUCAGACAGCCAGGAUGUUGGCUUAGAAGCAGCCAUCAUUUAAAGAAAGCGUAAUAGCUCACUGGUCGAGUCGGCCCGCGCGGAAGAUGUAACGGGGCUAAACCAUGCACCGAAGCUGCGGCAGCGACACAAAGUGUUGUUGGGUAGGGGAGCGUUCUGUAAGCCUGCGAAGGUGUACUGUGAGGUAUGCUGGAGGUAUCAGAAGUGCGAAUGCUGACAUAAGUAACGAUAAUGCGGGUGAAAAACCCGCACGCCGGAAGACCAAGGGUUCCUGUCCAACGUUAAUCGGGGCAGGGUGAGUCGACCCCUAAGGCGAGGCUGAAAAGCGUAGUCGAUGGGAAACGGGUUAAUAUUCCCGUACUGGUGGUAACUGCGAUGGGGGAACGGAGAAGGCUAGGUUGUCCGGGCGACGGUCGUCCCGGUUCAAGCAGGUAGGCAGAGUGAUUAGGCAAAUCCGGUCACUUAAUGCUGAGAUGUGAUGACGAACCACCAAGGUGGUGAAGCAAUUGAUGCCCCGCUUCCAGGAAAAGCCUCUAAGCUUCAGGUUACCAACAAUCGUACCCCAAACCGACACAGGUGGUCAGGUAGAGAAUACUCAGGCGCUUGAGAGAACUCGGGUGAAGGAACUAGGCAAAAUGGUGCCGUAACUUCGGGAGAAGGCACGCUGGCGGUAGGUAAAGUCCCUUGCGGACGGCGCUGAAGCCAGUCGAAGAUACCAGCUGGCUGCAACUGUUUAUUAAAAACACAGCACUGUGCAAACACGAAAGUGGACGUAUACGGUGUGACGCCUGCCCGGUGCUGGAAGGUUAAUUGAUGGGGUCAGCCGUAAGGCGAAGCUCCUGAUCGAAGCCCCAGUAAACGGCGGCCGUAACUAUAACGGUCCUAAGGUAGCGAAAUUCCUUGUCGGGUAAGUUCCGACCUGCACGAAUGGCGUAAUGAUGGCCAGGCUGUCUCCACCCGAGACUCAGUGAAAUUGAACUCGCUGUGAAGAUGCAGUGUACCCGCGGCAAGACGGAAAGACCCCGUGAACCUUUACUAUAGCUUGACACUGAACAUUGAGCCUUGAUGUGUAGGAUAGGUGGGAGGCUUUGAAGUGUGGACGCCAGUCUGCAUGGAGCCAACCUUGAAAUACCACCCUUUAACGUUUGAUGUUCUAACCUAGGCCCAUAAACUGGGUCGGGGACCGUGUCUGGUGGGUAGUUUGACUGGGGCGGUCUCCUCCUAAAGAGUAACGGAGGAGCACGAAGGUUGGCUAAGCAUGGUCGGACAUCAUGCGGUUAGUGCAAAGGCAUAAGCCAGCUUGACUGCGAGAGUGACGGCUCGAGCAGGUACGAAAGUAGGUCUUAGUGAUCCGGUGGUUCUGAAUGGAAGGGCCAUCGCUCAACGGAUAAAAGGUACUCCGGGGAUAACAGGCUGAUACCGCCCAAGAGUUCAUAUCGACGGCGGUGUUUGGCACCUCGAUGUCGGCUCAUCACAUCCUGGGGCUGAAGUAGGUCCCAAGGGUAUGGCUGUUCGCCAUUUAAAGUGGUACGCGAGCUGGGUUUAGAACGUCGUGAGACAGUUCGGUCCCUAUCUGCCGUGGGCGUUGGAAGAUUGAGAGGGGUUGCUCCUAGUACGAGAGGACCGGAGUGAACGCACCACUGGUGUUCGGGUUGUCAUGCCAAUGGCAUUGCCCGGUAGCUAAGUGCGGAAGAGAUAACCGCUGAAAGCAUCUAAGCGGGAAACUUGCCUCGAGAUGAGUCUUCCCUGUCGCUUUAAGCGACCUAAAGGAACGUUUAAGACUAAGACGUUGAUAGGCUGGGUGUGUAAGCGUAGCGAUACGUUGAGCUAACCAGUACUAAUGAACCGUGAGGCUUAACCUG
rnacentral:rRNA from 1 species